rnacentral:rRNA from 1 species
CAGCAGCCGCGGGAACACCAGCACCUCGAGUGGUCAGGAGGUUUAUUGGGCCUAAAGCAUCCGUAGCCGGUUGCAUAAGUUUUCGGUUAAAUCUAUGCGCUUAACGUAUAGGCCGCCGAAAAUACUGUGCAGCUAGGGAGUGGGAGAGGUACACGGUACUCGAUAGGAAGGGGUAAAAUCCUUUGAUCUAUUGAUGACCACCUGUGGCGAAGGCGGUGUACCAGAACACGUUCGACGGUGAGGGAUGAAAGCUGGGGGAGCAAACCGGAUUAGAUACCCGGGUAGUCCCUGUCUCUUAUAC